UUCCGGGGGAACCUACCACGUUGACAGCGUCGUGAGAUGCAAGUGGACCGGGGGAACCUAUCACUUGAUUGCAUCAAUCAAUACGAAACGUAAAGGUUGUUGUUUGUAUUGCCAAUGUUGGGACCGAGACGUCGUUGGGUAUGCCAUUAUCACAGGUUGCAUGCAAUUCAAUGUAUGAGAUGGAACGCAUGAAUACUCUCACGAGAAUUCUUUCUAUUUUCACUACAGCUCGAUGACUACAUGCACUAAGACUCUUUUGGACAUUAAAGCAAACAGGUGUAGCUCACAAAAUCCCAAGCUCAUCAUCGAUCGAUGACUACAUCCACCUCGACUCAUAAUCUCCAGUCAAAUGUUAAUUUACUUGAUGAAAAGGCAAAACCUGAAGCAGGAGGGAAUCCGGAAACAGCGAUGACGGCAAGUGGUCGCAAGUCGUUCGAGCUUCCACCUACCCGGAUUUGCCGACAGAGAGCUGCUCUUCCUCAGCAAACUCUCGCUGAAAGGGGUCAUGGGUAGAGAAAUUUCAUGACGUAAUCGAAGAAGGGGAGAGAGGAGAGGGUAUCGCCAUUGAUGGAAGGAGUAAACGUCGAGUUUUUGAGAGGUGACGCACCGAACGGUACUCUGUGCGUUUCCUUAAAAUACGUCCGGUACUUGUUUGAUCAAAUGCAUGACAGAAACAGGAAGCAGAAUUAACGCCCACCUCACGCAGUUACGGAGAAGCCAUGGGAAUUGAGGGUAAAUACUGUCAUCUUUUACCAGUGUUAACCUACUAAAUAGAUUCCUCUGCUUCGGAAUCUGCAAUAUGGCCUUCUUUACAUCGGUCGCUCACGACAGAUUCAUUAAGCCAGUAGUAAUAUGGUCACGCACGACGCACUACUCUUUAGUGGUUUUGCCUGCAAUCCGCGGAGCGUGCGUGCUCUCUUCCCCACGCCCACGCUCACGCUCCCUGGUUUUUAAUUCCCGGUCUCUCAGCGUACUAUAGUAAAUGGAGGGAGGGAAGGGAGCGUGGGAGGCAGUCAUGGCGGGUUUCCCGGUGCCCCCUUAAAAUCUGUGGCGGUGGUGACGAAAGGAACUCCCUGCUCCGGUUCCCUUCAGCCCCUGUUCUCCCCUGUCCCAACAAUUAUGGGCUCCUCUGUUACUUAAGGGCCUGUUUGCGAGCCCCUUCUUUGCCUAGCUUACAGGCACGCGGCAGAUAUCAUUGUGGUGCAGAAGAAUCCUGUGGAAAGAUGGGAUCUUUGCGCUUCUUUGCUCUGGUUUUCGUGGCUGGAGCAGCGGUUGCGUUCUUUUCCUCUAGCAAUAGAGUCGCCAUUGCUGCAGGUUAUGCCUCAACUGUGCCUGCAAAGGGUGGAGGUGUCAUGGCGAUCAUCACCAACAAGAAAUUGAAGGACGACAGCUUCGACAUCAGCGCCAUGAGAAAUGGAAGGGAUUUAGCAGGUGCAAAUGUGGAGGAUUACUUCCCAUUCGAUACAGUGCCAAGCUCGAAAGCCGCCAUCAAAUCCUGACCAAUCGAACACGGUACUCCUCGCAUGCCAUGUAUCCCCCGGCCAACGCCACCAAGCCAACCCAAGCAUGGAUCAUCUCCCUGAGCAGCUCUGCUUCGCCUAUCACUUAUCAGAUCUGUACGUGUACUGUUAAUUACUAAGUUUCUGGUGUUGUAAUACUCAUCAGGAUAAACCAAGUACGGCAAGCUACUAUGACUCUCUUGUCCGAUGGUGAAACAAAGACUAUGCAUGUAGUUGUAUAAUAUCCACGCUCGGUUUGAUGUUUUUA